GACGAACGCUGGCGGCGUGCCUAAUACAUGCAAGUCGAACGCACUCUCGUUUAGAUUGAAGGAGUUUGCUCCUGAUUGAUAAACAUUUGAGUGAGUGGCGGACGGGUGAGUAACACGUGGGUAACCUGCCCUAAAGUGGGGGAUAACAUUUGGAAACAGAUGCUAAUACCGCAUAAAACCUAACACCGCAUGGUGUAGGGUUGAAAGAUGGUUUCGGCUAUCACUUUAGGAUGGACUCGCGGUGCAUUAGUUAGUUGGUGAGGUAAAGGCUCACCAAGACCGUGAUGCAUAGCCGACCUGAGAGGGUAAUCGGCCACACUGGGACUGAGACACGGCCCAGACUCCUACGGGAGGCAGCAGUAGGGAAUCUUCCACAAUGGACGAAAGUCUGAUGGAGCAACGCCGCGUGAGUGAAGAAGGUUUCGGAUCGUAAACUCUGUUGUUGGAGAAGAAUGUAAUCUGAUAGUAACUGAUCAGUAGUGACGGUAU
rnacentral:rRNA from 1 species